CAGGUGUGCAUGGGGUUGGUCAUUAACCCAGGUAGGCUUAUAAAUGUAGUGUCGACACAGCGCACUGGAACUGACUAACCGACUACAAGGUGACCUGGAGCGCAGACACGCACAACCAAUCCAACAUGUCGGAUUUCGAGACUGCGGUGCCUGUUGAGGCCAACGCUCCCGUUCCCUCCGCCUGCCAGGUCCUCAAGGCCGAGCUGGAGAAGUGUGUCCAGGAGAAGGGGGAGGACAGCUGCAAGGACCUGCUGGAGGCUUUUCAGACCUGUCUGAAGACUGCAGCUGAAGCAUCCUGAGGGGAGCGCAGUGUUCGCCAUGUCCUCUGCACUGAGCCCUCUGAUAUCCCAGCAUUCCCUUCCAUAUAUUGCACUGGUCUGAACCUUGCUGACAUCAUCAGGGAGGCAGUGGGUAUGCCGUGGUCUCCCCUAAACUGUUAAACGUCUUCCCUGAAAUGGAGUCUUCCAAUCUCUAAAUGGAUGGGAGUGUGCCCUGCUGGUGAACCAGAUUGUGUUUAAUGUGAUUAUUUUUCAUUUGGGGGGGGGGGGGAAAUAAAAAUGUAUAUCAAUAUAAAGCGCUGCAUUGUUUCAUUGCCAAGCUCAAUAUUCUGUAAUCGAUCUGAAAGUGUAUCUUGACUGUAAACUGAAAUAAAAUUUGACUACCUCAA